rnacentral:rRNA from 1 species
GACGAACGCUGGCGGCGUGCCUAAUACAUGCAAGUCGAACGCUUCUUUCCUCCCGAGUGCUUGCACUCAAUUGGAAAGAGGAGUGGCGGACGGGUGAGUAACACGUGGGUAACCUACCCAUCAGAGGGGGAUAACACUUGGAAACAGGUGCUAAUACCGCAUAACAGUUUAUGCCGCAUGGCAUAAGAGUGAAAGGCGCUUUCGGGUGUCGUUGAUGGAUGGACCCGCGGUGCAUUAGCUAGUUGGUGAGGUAACGGCUCACAAAGGCCACGAUGCAUAGCCGACCUGAGAGGGUGAUCGGCCACACUGGGACUGAGACACGGCCCAGACUCCUACGGGAGGCAGCAGUAGGGAAUCUUCGGCAAUGGACGAAAGUCUGACCGAGCAACGCCGCGUGAGUGAAGAAGGUUUUCGGGUCGUAAAACUCUGUUGUUAGAGAAGAACAAGGACGUUAGUAACUGAACGUCCCCUGACGGUAUCUAACCAGAAAGCCACGGCUAACUACGUG